GUGUAGGCUAGGCUAGAAUGGUUACGCUGUCCGCUUAGUAAGCGGAAGAUCAUGGGUUCGAUUCCCAUCUGCUCC
rnacentral:tRNA from 1 species